CGUGUAGGUGGUCAGGUAAGUCAGAUGUGAAAGCCUUCUGCUUGACAGAAGAAGUGCAUUUGAAACUGCUUGGCUAGAGUACGGGAGAGGAGAGUGGAAUUCCCGGUGUAGAGGUGAAAUUCGUAGAUAUCGGGAGGAACACCAGUGGCGAAGGCGGCUCUCUGGUCCGAUACUGACACUGAGACGCGAAAGCGUGGGGAGCAAACAGGAUUAGAUACCCUGGUAGUCCACGCCGUAAACGAUGGGCACUAGGUGUAGGAGGUAUUGACCCCUUCUGUGCCGAAGCUAACGCAUUAAGUGCCCCGCCUGGGGAGUACGGCCGCAAGGCUAAA
rnacentral:rRNA from 1 species